rnacentral:rRNA from 1 species
UGGGUAAUUUGCCGAAAAGUUGGGGAUAACUCGCUGAAAGGCGAGCUAAUACCGAAUGUGGUUAUUUGAAGGCAUCUUUGAAUAACUAAAGUUGGGGAUCGUAAGACCUGACGCUUUUUGAUGAACCCGCGGCCUAUCAGCUAGUUGGUGAGGUAAUGGCUCACCAAGGCUAAGACGGGUAGCUGGUCUGAGAGGACGACCAGCCACACUGGAACUGAGACACGGUCCAG